CUACUUUUUCAGUACCGAAACAUUCCCGCCAAAAAUAUCUUCUGGAUUCUUCUUCAAUACGCCUCUUCCCAAUUUUUGUUUAUCAUCUCCGUUCAGCUUCAACUGCAACAAAGCCAACUGCCGAUCAUCGGUGAUUCGAAAUGUCGAAGAAAAGAGGUCUUUCCUUGGAUGAGAAACGAGAGAAAAUGCUACAAAUCUUUUAUGAUUCACAAGGUUUCUUCCUUCUUAAGGAACUUGAAAAGUCGGGUCCUAAGAAAGGUGUUAUCAGCCAGUCAGUGAAAGACGUUAUCCAAUCUUUGGUGGAUGAUGAUCUUGUGUUUAAAGACAAGAUAGGGACUUCUGUAUACUUUUGGAGUCUGCCUAGUUGUGCUGGGAACCAGCUGAGAACUGUCUAUAAAAAGCUUGAAACUGAUCUCCAGAACAAUAAUAAGCGGCACACUGAACUUGUUGAACAAUGCAAGGCCUUGAAAAAGGGACGUGAAGAAUCUGAUGCCCGAGAAGAGGCCUUGAAUGAGCUGAAAUCUAUUGAACAGAAACAUAAGGAACUUAAGGAAGAGUUGAUGCAGUACGCUGAUAAUGAUCCUGCUACUAUUGAAGCAAUGAAGAAGGCGAUUGAAGUUGCCCAUUCAGCAGCUAAUAGAUGGACAGAUAACAUCUUCACAUUGAGACAAUGGUGUUCAAAUAACUUUCCCCAAGCAAAAGAGCAACUUGAUCAGCUAUACAAUGAGGUCGGAAUAACAGAUGACUUUGACUACUUAGAGUUGCCAGCAGUGGUUCCUCUUGCAGUUACUGAGGGUGAACUUUAAUUGGCCGUAAGCUAGUUUGACAUAUGCUUCCCUUAUGUUCUUUUACCUUUUACUAUGUUUGUUCUUUCCAGUGGUAUAGCAGUUGGUUCUUGCUUUAAUAAUUUGAAUGAUCUUAAAAGCAUUGUCAUAUAUGUAGUCUGGGCAGCUUAAUAGCCAUUAAUUUUGAUUAGCAUUAUGCAUGUUCUUUCUCUUUACCAUGUUUCAGAAUGUCUGGAUAUCUUAUUCUCUCCAGAAAAGAUUGUAAGUUCAAUUCGUAUUUUCCCCUCAUGAUUCCUCAAAAUCUCGUGCUAGAGGAUAUUGUGACACUGACCCAUAUAGAAAACUGUUUGUGGAUACUAUCAUACUAGAUGGGGAGAUUUUAUUGACUGAUUAAUUCAAAUUUACAUGUCAUUUCGUCGUGUUAUUUCGACACCAAAGUACUUUAUGCAAUAUUAAAGAAAACCGUCAAUUUGGGGGAUGGAACUACUGAUUAGCGGCUGAAUUAAAGUUCCAAUAAUUGAAUUAAAGUCCCAAUAACGGUUAUUAGCCAGCUACAAAAACGUCAAAAAAGGAACGACCAACUCUAUUUUAAAAUUUCAAAAAAUAAGGAAGGAAUAUAUAGGACAAACAUUCAUGUUUGGCAAGUGGCAAGUGGGGAAGGAAUUUUCAUUAAUUGGAAUAGGUCCACAAAUUAUUUUUUAUACUGUACAACUCAAAACAAUCUGUACUCAUAACGUGCAGUGAAUCUCAACCUUACACCUGUCCCUUUAUUAACGGCUAAUAAAAACUUCCUAUUAUUGAAUCUUUUCCAAAUUGGAAAGAAAUUUAAUUUGACAGAGUGUAUACUGAAUGGAGAUCCUUUACAACCAAAAUUUCAUAAAAUAAAAAAUGAAGGAAAUAAGGGAUUAAAAAUUCCCUUCCUUAUUUAUAAAACCCCAAUUUUUUCUUUUUUAGUGAAAACAAACAUUAAAAGAGUCUCAACUCUCAAGAAAGAAGAAAAAAUGGAGGUGUUGAGACUCUGUUUAAUGGCUAUUUUUGGUUUGGUUAUGGCUUUGGUUAUUCCUUCUAUCAAUGCUCAAGUACCUGAGCCUGCUCCUGCUCCUACAAGUGAUGGAGUUGCAAUUGACCAAGGUAUAGCUUAUGUGCUAAUGUUGGUUGCUUUGGCAAUUACUUAUAUGAUUCAUUAGGCAAUGUGAUACAGCUUCCAUUGCAGUUUUUUUCUUAUUAUUUUUUCUGGUUGUGAUUAAUUUUUAAAGAAAUUAAUUUCAUUCUCUUGUAUUCUUUUUAGAGGUUGAAAUUCUCUAUUUUCUUUUAUUCAAUUAUUAAAUCGUAGAAAUUCUUUAUACCUUCCCUUUCUUUUCCAUUGUAUAUGUUCUUUUUAUUUGUUUCUAUACAUAUGAGAAAUUAUGAU